rnacentral:rRNA from 1 species
GACGGAGGAUGCAAGUAUUAUCCGGAAUCACUGGGCGUAAAGCGUCUGUAGGUGGUUUAGUAAGUCUAUUGUUAAAUCUUGAGGCUCAACUUCAAAUCAGCGAUGGAAACUGCUAGACUAGAGUGUGGUAGAGGUAAGAGGAAUUUCCAGUGGAGCGGUGAAAUGCGUAGAUAUUGGAAAGAACACCGAUGGCGAAGGCAUCUUACUGGGCCAUAACUGACACUCAGAGACGAAAGCUAGGGUAGCAAAAGGGAUUAGAUACCCCUGUAGUCCUAGCCGUAAACGAUGGAUACUAGAUGUUGUGCUUCGCAGUAUCGUAGCUAACGCGUUAAGUAUCCCGCCUGGGGAGUACGCUCGCAAGGGUG